GUUCAUUCGGUGGCAACACUGGAGAAGACCUAGUGGCGAACGGGUGAGUAGCACGUGAGCAACCUGCCCCGAAGACUGGGAUAACACCGGGAAACCGGUGCUAAUACCGGAUACCCUCACGAGAUCGCAUGAUCAUGUGAGGAAAUGGAUUCCGCUUCGGGAGGGGCUCGCGGCCUAUCAGUUUGUUGGUGGGGUAACGGCCUACCAAGACGACGACGGGUAGCUGGUCUGAGAGGACGAUCAGCCACACUGGGACUGAGACACGGCCCAGACUCCUACGGGAGGCAGCAGUGGGGAAUCUUGCGCAAUGGGCGAAAGCCUGACGCAGCAACGCCGCGUGGGGGACGAAUGCUUUCUGAG
rnacentral:rRNA from 1 species